AAAUGAGGGGAGAGAUAGGGAAGAACAAAAGGCAGCAAGGCAAGAAAGUAAAAGCGAAACAAAAAAGAAAGAAAGAGGAGAGGAGCACAGAAGGGUUGAUGGCAAGGAGGAAAGAAAAACUGAUGAAAGCCCCUGAAUACAAGCUCAAACACAUCAAAGAAACAAAACUCGAUCAAAAAACAAAAAAUGGCGAUGGCGUCGAAGACAAACACAGUGUUUGCCUACACGUUGGUUUACGUGAAGGAUGUUGCCAAAUCCACAACCUUUUAUUCCAAAGCCUUUGGCUACGAUAUUCGUCGCUUGGACGACUCCAACAGGUGGGGGGAGUUGGAAAGCGGCCAAACGACGAUAGCAUUCACAUCGAUACACCAACAAGACCGAUGAUCUAACAGGUGACAUCCAGACCCCAAGCUCCGGCCGCGAGAGGUAGCCGAUUGAGGUUUGCUUUGCGUACGGUGACGUUGAUGCUGCCUGUAAGAAACCAUGAAGAGACACCCAUCACGAGGAUUUCAAACCAGAGUAGAAAGCCAUAAGCCUCUGGAGACCUGUAAAAACAACAAGUGUGAGCCUGCGAAGUGGGAAAGUGGCAAUAAGCACGAACCUGCAGCGAAGGAAGACAAAAAAUAAAAUGAAAUUGUUCACACACACAAAGUGUAUGCUUAUCUGCUAGUUAUGAUUAAGUAAAUUGUUUAAAGUAAUCUAUCUAAUUGGUUGUUUGGACCUUCUUGGAAAGAAAGGGUUUCCAUUAGAGCCCAAACCGUCCAAUCGGGGGCUCGCUCAAGCAAUUGCUUUCUAGCAUGUUUGGACGCUUCCCUUUUCCAUUGUGACUUUUAUUGGUUUUACAGACAAUUCUACUCUGCAUUCACUCA